GGAGAGAUGGCAGAGCGGACUAUUGCGUCGGUCUUGAAAACCGUUGAGGCCUCACGGUCUCCGGGGGUUCGAAUCCCCCUCUCUCCGCCA
rnacentral:tRNA from 1 species